UACGAAGGGUGCAAACGUUGCUCGGAAUUAUUGGGCGUAAAAGCGCACGUAGGCGGCUUAGCAAGUCGGAAGUGAAAGCCCUUGGCUCAACCAAGGAAGUGCUUUCGAAACUGCUGAGCUUGAGUAGUUAAGAGGAUCGCGGAAUUCCCGGUGUAGAGGUGAAAUUCGUAGAUAUCGGGAGGAACACCAGUGGCGAAGGCGGCGAUCGUGGGAACAUACUGACGCUGAGGUGCGAAAGCGUGGGGAGCAAACAGGG
rnacentral:rRNA from 1 species